rnacentral:rRNA from 1 species
UACGGAAGGAUCCAAGCGUUAUCCGGAUUUAUUGGGUUUAAAGGGUGCGUAGGCGGGUUGUUAAGUCAGUGGUGAAAUCUUGCAGCUUAACUGUAAAAUUGCCAUUGAUACUGACGAUCUUGAGUACACUUGAAGUGGGCGGAAUAUGUCAUGUAGAGGUGAAAUUCUUAGAGAUGACAUAGAAACACCGAUUGCGAAGGCAGCUCACUAAAUUGUAACUGACGACUGAGGCACGGAAAGCGAGUGGGG